rnacentral:rRNA from 1 species
AGCUCCAAUAGCGUAUAUUAAAGUUGUUGCAGUUAAAAGGCUCGUAGUCGAACUUUUGGUUCUUUAGUCUUGUCCCGUUCCUUUGUGGAACGUUGUGACGAGUCUUAGAACCUUCUUGGUUGAGAGCGCUUCUGCCCUUUAUUGGGUUGGUUGCGUGCUCUGCCUCUUUUACUGUGAGAAAAACAAAGUGCUCAAAGCAGGCUUUACAGCUUGAAUGCGUUAGCAUGGAAUAAUAAGAUAGGACUUUGUUUCUAUUUUGUUGGCUCUGAGGAACAAAGUAAUGAUUGAUAGGGAUAGUUGGGGGUGCUCGUAUUUAACGGUCAGCGGUGAAAUGCAUGGACCCGUUAAAGACGAACCUAUGCGAAAGCAUUCACCAAGGAUAUCUUCU